AUCUAUGGCCAUACCACCCUGAAUGUGUCUGAUUUUGUCUAAUCUUGGAAGCUAAACAGGGUCAGGCCUGGUUAGCACUUGGAUAGGAGACUCGUAAAAAUGCAAAUGAGAAAUUUAUU
ensembl:rRNA 5S_rRNA 5S ribosomal RNA